GGAGGAGAGAUCAUCAGAGUGCGCUCUGAUGGGGGGAUCCACUAUGUCAAGCUGCCCCAGGCCUCCUCUGCCUCCUUCGUGCUCAGGUUCAUGGAGACUCUGUGUCACCAGCUGCAGAGUGACAACCUGCUUCUCCUCCCAACCCUUCAGCCCUGCAUUCAUGGCCUCCACUGGACACACAGCCUACGACAGGAGCACGUCAGUAAAAGAAGAGAUGUCAGAGGCCUUGUCCAUAGCCAGAGGCGCCGUAGGAAGGAGGCAGGCGCUUCCAGAUGGACAGAGACAGGGACUGUAACCUUUACCCUGCCCCCCUGUCCUCCUCCAAACGGCUGCACAGCACAGAGGCACACCCCUUGGAAGAGCCCCUUCCUCGCAGUGAGAACGGUUUGACUGAGGACCCUAUGGACACCUCCACCUCUCCCUCCAUGACCCUCGCCCCCUGACACAACGCACCACCUCAGAGUACCGUGGCCAGGGGUCCAGCAGCCCCUACUACCCUGGUCUGGCCUGGUCACCCCCCACCACCACCCCUCAGGCGCCUGGCCCCAACCUCCCGACCUGGGUCCAGAGGGCUACAGAGAAGAGUGGAAGGUAGGCCUUCUGCGAGCUCCACCACAGGUCCUGAGCACCUGGCAGCUGCAGACCGGGAGGCUGCAGCGGGGAAUGGGGCCGGGAACGCCCCUUCCUCCUGGUCUGUGGAUGAGGUGAUGCAGUUCGUCCACGACGCCGACCCCCAAACACUCGGACCCCACGUGGAGCUCUUCAGAAAACACGAGAUCGACGGAAAGGCGCUGAUGCUUCUACGUAGUGACAUCAUCAUGAAGUACAGGGUCUGAAGCUAGGCCCGCCCUCAAGCUAUGUCACCACAUCGAGAGGCUCAAACAGACCAAACAGUAACACUCUCUCUCUCACACACACACACACACACACACUAGAAUGGGAAGAUCAUCUUGGCUGUGAAACCCUAAGCACAAUGAGUCCUUAAUCAUUCCUUUGCAGAGACCCUCAUAGCUCAUCCUGUGAUGAAGAGCAUUCAGAGAAACAGUAUGGACGUCAGUAUGAACGUUAGUACAGAGAAACACUAUGAACCAACUUCAGUCUACUAUUCUUUAGAAUAGACUCAGCUGAAUCCCAAAGGAUGAUGUUGAGUGUUUACCUACCUAUGCAUUGUCCAUGUACACCUUCUGUCAACCCUUACCUACUUAGCCUGGUCCAGAACGUUCUGUAAAAAACAAACAGAUCUGAGACAGGCUACUGUCAGCCGUGGAGGCCUGGAGAUGCAAGGAGCCGUCUCCACACAACCCCCAAUGGCAUGUACUGCUUGUUGCACUAGCCUCUCAUUGCAUAAGAUAUCAACCAUUCAGCUUCUAUAUGGAUACUGUGAUUUGAUUCUUUAAUAGUUUCAAUUUCAAAGGAUGUUGAUAAGGAGAAUGUACCAUGCUGUUAAGAUUCAUUGUUUGUUUGGACACUGCAUUUGACCGUACUCCUUAGUGCAUUCAGGAUGUGACAUCACAGCAUCUGGACUCUGUGGACAACUGAUCCUUCUUUGGAUCGCCCGAUGGAACUUCUAACAGGAUCAUGAUUGUGAUUGGACAUUCACACAUUCCUCUGCUGCGUGUACAUUCUAGAAUAGUUGGACAAUGAAGACGGGAAGUUCCUGCUCAAGUCAAAGUCUUAUUGUAAAAGAAGAUGUGGACUUAUGUUUGAAGAACCAGACAAAAAACCUGUGUUUUACAUAAAAAGCCAAAAAAGUAUGUUUUUUUUAUAUCUUGGAUUUUGUACUGUGUGUAAAAGGUAUUAUUAAUCUCUGCAUAUAUACAGGAAGGUUGUGUUGAAUCCUGUCUGUAUUUUAACCCAAACAAUCUGGUAUUUGUAAUGGUAGUGUUGGCUACACCAUCAGACAACUACCCGAUGGUAGCCGAGCUGAACAUUGAUUGCAAUAAGUGUAUGGCCUUCAUCUCAUUUCAAAUCAUAGCCGUUAAAAGUAGAUAGUUUGACAGUUGGUUGUCUGAAGGUUUUCAAGCACCAAAGGGCAGUUGAUAUGUAUUUAACGUUUCAUGUUCAGGAUAUCCAGCAUAUAUAGAUACAAGGCUAUAUAGCAGUCAGGCAACAGGCUAGGAUAUGGAGUGUUAGGGGAUUAACACACAAGCAAAAGAGAUGUGGAUGGAUUCAUUUGUUUCACAACAACCUAUAAUGUGAUAAAAUAUGACUUAUUUUAGUAUUUAUCUUGUCGCUGUGGCAGAAGAAGUAUCAAUUUUUUUAUUUUUUUUUAGAAGUCAUAUAUUCAAAACAAUCUUUUGUAGUUGCAUUUUUAUGUGAACGCUUUUAGUUUAAAUGAAGGGUAAUAGUUAAACGGCUUUAUUGUGAUACUCAGGUUUUACUAGGCUUUUGUGUUUCAGGACAGAGUUCUUCAAGUAGCAUUUGCUGUAAGUUCAUUUUCUGUUUGACAAUAUUUUAGAUCAACUUUGUAUAUAUUUUUUAAGAUUCUACAUUUUCAUCUGUUGUUCCAUAGAAACAACACACAGUUUACAUAUACGGAAAAACUACUUUUUCAAGUACCGGUACUGGAAAAUGGUUGUUUGUUAAAUAAUAUUUGCAUAUGACUUUCACGCAAUUAAACCUUUUUUUUUUCA